rnacentral:rRNA from 1 species
UACGUAGGGGGCAAGCGUUAUCCGGAUUUACUGGGUGUAAGGGGAGCGUAGACGGCAGGGCAAGUCUGGAGUGAAAGGCAGGGGCCCAACCCCUGGACUGCUCUGGAAACUGUCCGGCUGGAGUGCAGGUGAGGUAAGUGGAAUUCCUAGUGUAGCGGUGAAAUGCGUAGAUAUUAGGAGGAACACCAGUGGCGAAGGCGGCUUACUGGACUGUAACUGACGUUGAGGCUCGAAAGCGUGGGGAGCAAACAGG